rnacentral:pre_miRNA from 1 species
CGAUACCUGGUGUUGAUUCUGGCUGAGAUUGAGGCAGGAAAAUAAACAAUUGUUGCCUGUCACAGCCAAUAUUGAUACCCGGCGUUG